GAAAGAGAGAGGUUUGGUCCCAUUCAUAAUUCUGGUGACAUCUUUCAUUAAUUUAAAAAGUCAGGACAAAAGUGGUUUAUUUCACUGAGGAAAGACAUCUCCCGGAGAGAAUGUGAAGCGAUGCAGAAAUACCAAGAGGUAAGGGGAGUAUGAAAUGAGCAACGUCUAUGGCUAGAACACUGUGGAAUCUUGUCCACAGGAGCCAAACAAGACAAGGCCUGGUUAAUUCUUGGAUAGCAGAAAAAGGAGCAAAAUUGAUUAUCUUUUCCCAACAGGUAAAGUAUUUUCACAGUAUAUUAUACGGCCAUUGGCAAAUCACUUGAGCUCCUAGGAAGGUGCAAAGUUAUUUUAUUAUUAUUCCUUAAACAAUGAGCAAUUCACUAAUAGUAACUUCUGAUUUUUCUCAAUGGCAGAAAACUCAAAAGGAUAAAUCAAUACUUUUAUAUCAUUAAAAUUCUCAUAAACUUUUGAAAAAGAUUAUUAGCCUACCUCAAAUACUAUAAAAUGUUAAGUAGCAGAAAAUAUACAUUACGAAAAAUUACAAAUUAAAAUCCUUUGUAAUGAGUGUCAUGUCCUCUGCGCUUCCAAACAUACUUGGUUUAUAUUCAUAUUUUUUCUGUCUUGUUUUUGCAUUUUUAAUGAUACGUAAUAGAUACAGUUCAGGUACAAAGCUGUUUUCUAAUGUCUACGGUGCUAUAAGAAAAACUUUAUUAACAAAACAAAUCUCAUUUUUUACUAUUUUUUCAAAAGUUAUAAAUAUCCAAAUUUAAUACAUAUUUAUAAAAAUAUUCAAAUAUAUUUUAAUUUUGUAAUGUAAUUUUGUAAAUUAAUGUGUCAAGCAAGUAUUGUUACCUAUCUUUAGGGUAGCCUCUAAAAUUAUUUACGUAUUAAAAUGGAAGAAAAUCCUUGUAUAGUAGACAAUUCCAAUUUUUUCGGCAAAAAUCAAAUUUCUUCAUCAAAUACUUUGAAUUAAAAAUCAACAGCCAUCCUCAAGUGUACUGGUUUGAAAGUUUUGAUGCUUUCUUCUCCUGAAUGCUGAAAAUAAGAAAGCCACAAUACAUUUCUCUAAGAGAGGGAUAGAGCAAAUCUUUUUGCAUCCAGAAUCAUUUUGCCAAGGAACCCUUGCUAAGUCAUUCCUAUAGUGGGGUGCUUUGCAUAGAUACAAAUAGUAAAUCCAUACCUUUCCAUAUGUUAGCAUUUUAAAAUGUUGCGAUCUACAAUGUCCAGACCAAGUGUGACUAUUGGCCGCAGUCAUUUAUAGCUUCUGAAUUCUCAUGUCAUUUCUCAUGCCUGUUUCCUAGAUCAGUCUUCAAAGCAAAGUUUAUCUUGUCUCCUCAGAGUGUCUUUAGAACUUAGGCUUAACAGCAAUAUGUGGUAUUUAUUUUUGUGGAGAAAUUCAUUUUAUUAUCCUAACUCAACCUCAGUCCUUGGAAGGCAGGCCAAGGAGUUUACAGGUUGCAUUUCAGUUUUAGAAAGCGGCACUUAAACUUGUACGUAUGUAAGCCAGAGACCUCCCCCUCAACCGCAGCACACAGCUAAUUCUUCCUUACAGCAUAGUCUGUUCGUGUUUCUUGCCCUCUCAACUGCUCCCAAACCCUUGCCAUCCCUCUCCCCACCAGCUGCAUGUCCUUUCUCUCUUUGGCUGACUUUUGACAGAUUCUGCAAAGAAUCUCAACAAGAAAUCUAUUGUAAAGAAAAUCCCAAUUCACAACACGACCUGGACGUGAGCAUUGCCUUCCAGUUUUGAUAACGACUGUGACACAUCGUUUAUGUUUGUCUGCAUCAAUGCGUCAACUCGAAAUCUUAGCACGCCUCUUAGUGCCUUCUCCUCCUAGCUGUACGACAAAUAUUUAAUUUUGUGACAGAAUUUGAUGAAGCAGUGAGUGGUUAUCAUUCUAUAAUAAUAUAAUUAUAGAAGACAAACAGAGUAGAGGUUAGUAGUAGGAGAUUUUCUUCCUAAAUGCAUGGUAAGUACAAAUGAGUUUACUAUAUGUGAGUUAGUUGUCUAAAUGUGAAAAGUUCUAGAAGAUUCCUUGAUAUCUGUUUCAAAUUUUAUAAGUAAAGCUGAUGAGAGUGUCCUGUUUUUGGUUUCCCCGAUCUUUUCUGUCAGGACUUCUCUGUCAGCUCCACGAGGAGUUGAGUCACCCUCUGCUCUGGUUGUUCACUCUGCUUGGACACUUCCUAACUUCCAUUGACCUUUUCAAGUCUGUUCCACUGUGUGCAGCGCUUUGGUGGCCGACUGGUCAGCAGCACACUGUUUAGGGUACUGGCUUCUCAUUUUCUAGUACAGGGAAUGGAAUAUAAUUGGGUCUCGCUAUGAUUCAAUUAAACGAGAAAGUAAAAUCGACUUUCUUUAACAUUGUCCAAAGUGCGCCCACCAGAGCUAAGUGUGUGAAUGAGUCAAGACUCUAACAGUAUCUCUAAAAUUCAAAUCAGAAAUUACAUGUAUCUGGAAGAAGGUUCUCAGAUGCCUACAGAUCACCUUUGUGCGUGUGUGUCUUUGUGUGUGCGUGUGCAUGUAUGUGUCUCUGUGUGUGUAUGUGUGUGUAUGGUGUGUGUGUCUGUGUGUGUGUGUGCGUGUGCAUGUAUGUGUCUGUGUGUAUGUGUGUAUGUGUGUGUGUAUGGUGUGUGUGUGUCUGUGUAUGUGUGUGUAUGGUGUAUGUGUGUCUGUGUGUGUGUCUGUGUGUGUGUCUGUGUGUGUGUCUGUGUGUGUGUCUGUGUGUGUGUCUGUGUGUGUGUCUGUGUGUGUAUGUGUGUGUGUAUGUGUGUGUCUGUGUGUGUGUAUGUGUGUGUCUAUGUGUGUGUAUGUGUGUGUGUGUGUGUCUAAAAUAUACCAAUAGACUUGCAUUACUCAUUAUGCCAAUCAGCCCCAUGACUUGUAUUUUUAUUGAACAUAGCUAGGCUCGUUCAUGUAGCUAUUGUUCUCUGCUGCUUUGUGUAAUUACAGCAGAGCAGAACUAGUCACAUGUCCAUGCAGUGCUCAAAGCCUCACCCCUGACUUGUGAUCUAUAACCCCUUCCCCCCUGUCUUUCCUCCCUCCCUGCCUAGUGCUCUGGGCGUUAGGAUUAUAGGCCGACAGUACCACACCUAGUUCCUAUAUUUCACACUUCAUCAAGUGUUACAAAUGAUAAACACUUGAGGUGAAAAUGUGGAUUUCAAUAUAAAUCUUGAGAUUGAUAUAAUUGGUAUUAAGGUGAUGUAACUUCUGAAUUCAGUUUAAGAAACAUGAGGUUCUUAGGUGACACGAGGUAGCAGAGCCUUAAGGUGAUGUUCUAAGUCACAUAAAACCUUAUAAUUAAAUUUUGUUUUAAUGCUAAAAAAAUGGGAAAGGCUGUUGGAUUCCAGCGUUUCUUUAGGUUUUAUUGUAAUAAAUUUAUCAAGUGAUCUAAAUGUAAUACUAAGAUAAAAUUAAGUAUUAAAAUACAACAUGCACAGCCAAAGAGUUGGCUGACCAAUGAGAAGUUCAGAGGACCUCAGUUCCAUUCCCAGAACCCAUAGCCAGGGCUCACAACUACCUGUAAAUACUGUUUUUGGGGAACACACACACAACAGAGAAUUAAAAAUAAUCAUGAAAAUAAAUCAUUUAAAAGUAUUUUAUCCUCAAUAAGAGAGAUCAAACGAGAAACAUUUGUGUCAUAAGGAGCUGCUGAGACAUCAUUAAAAUUCAUUAUAAUUUCUCUAUCAGUGUCUGCCAACCCAUUUCAUCUUUAUUUAUUACUAUUAUCACUCAACAAUCGUGUCAACAAAUAUUUCUAGGAUACCUAUACUACAGGGUUGGUUUCUGUGGCCCAGUUUACAGAUUUGUAAAUUCAGAGAAUUCGUAGCAUGACCAAUGUUUUAAACAACGAAUGUUUCCAGUUUUCUUUAAAAAAGAAAGCUUAUUGUCUAAUUAUUACGGAAUUUUCUAUUGAAAUUAAACUAUCGUGGUAUUUAUCGCCAAUCAACUUAUCUAAUAACAAAGAUGCCUGCCAGGAAGGCUAGAAUCUUCCUUUCAUAUUAAGGAGCUAAGACGUGGAAGAGUGAGGAGCACAGCCAGCCAGUGUAGCUGAAUGCCACAGUCCAGAUUCACUGUACUUCUCCUGUGCACACGCUGCCCUUACAGACCACCUGAGCAUAGCAUGACGUGACAGGAAAAUGUGAUGCUGUACACUUAGAGAGAUGCUCCUGAGUGAGAAGACAGGAACUCAAUGCAAGAGGUCACCAUGGCAACAUUGCAUCACAUGGUUCUAUUGCAACCAUCUAAGAAUAAAAAUCAGUGAGCCAUGGAUAAAAUUUACAUUGUAAUUGCUUUAAAAGAAACAGCAAAAUCAGAAUAUUUUGUAAUGCAAGAUAUUUGUAACACAAAAAGCAUGUAAUUUUUAAAUUUCAGGGUCUAUCAAUACAGUUUUGUUGGAACUAGGCCUCGUGACUUUAUUUACAUACAGUUAGAGCUUCUUUGGCUUCUACACAGUGGAGAUGAGCUGAUGGAGAAUACUAAUGUCUGACCUUCCGUGUGGGAGAGCAUUUACCAUCUGGCUCUUUACCAAAAGGAAUCAAGAAUAACUACAUUCUGGCAACACUUUUUAAGCCUGAAAAAUGGAAACUAUUUGGAACUCAAAGUAUGAAAAUACUAAUAAUGAAUAUAAUACAUUUUUAGUUUUCAUAUAUUUUAAUUUAAUCUGAAAUAGAGCAAUGUCCAGCCGAACUCUCUGUUUUAUGCCUGGAAUAAACUUGCACUUAAAUGCAAAACUGGAAGCUCUGUAGGAGUGUGAUGGUUUUGUUUUAGCUUUCGAUUGAAUAAUAUAGUUUAUUCUAGGAGAAUGCUUACAUGUAUGGACGAAUGCAGUCAACAUUGAUAGAUUGGAACACUUUAAGAGGCUUGAUUUAUAAUUUCGUAAUUUAUUCAGUUAUUCAGUUAAUUGAGAUGGGUUUUACUAUGUGGGCUGGACUUAAACUUGUGGGUUUUCUUCUCCAGUCUUGUAGGCAGCUGGAAUUACAGGCAUGUUCUACCACAACAUGCUAAGAAUCUUAUAAUCACAGCUGUCACUACUGGUAACUUUUAAAAUGGUGGGCUAUUGAAUGCUAAUUCUAUUUUAGGUUCUUUGGAAUACCUGGCAGUAGUAUCAGGAUUAUAAACUGAGGGAAUAAGUGGGUCACUGGGUAACUGAGCUUCCGUGAAUGCUCGGUGGUUCAGACUGCUCUGAUUGACAAGAUUUCGUUGGGCUGAAAGAACCACACGAGAAACUCAUAAUUAGCUAUGAGUCAAUAAAAUCCCCGGUGGUGCAGAAGAAUGAGAAAUAGAAGAAAAAAGACCCCACUGAUCUAAGCAUAUAAGAUUAGAGUAAUAAGUGAUAAAAAAUACUGCAGCCAGAUGUUAAACAUGAACAGGUCCAAGGCCUGUUUACUUGCUGGUUUUAGCGUCUAAGUGUAGAACAUAGAAAAGAGGGGGCAGACAGAGCAGACGGCAAACCAGAAGUCAAACGCACACACCCAAACACAUGCAGGGUACCAUCGGCUCUCAUACUUGUUGCAGAAGAGGGGGUGUUGCAACUCAGCAGCCAGUCUGCUGUGUUUAACACAGUCAUGUUGUCCCCUGAGAACAGGAACGGUAUAAGAGUUCAUCGUUGGAAGGCGUGCCGAGAGUCCUGGGGUAAUCGUCAGUGCUGGCACCAGUUUCCGACCUUUCAGCAAGACUCCAGCUGUACUGUGUGUCUUCGGUGCGUUAGCGCCUCAGGUCUGCUCUGGUGCUUGUGACUAUGUGUGUGAGUCUGUUCUUUCGGAGAGCUUGAACUGUUCAGUCUUACUAUCUGUGCCCAGCUCUGACCUAAAGGUAUCUGCUCAUGCUCUGGUGGUUUUGACUAAAUGUCCCUAAACACUAGCAGUUCAAAAUCCAUCCAUUCAUUAGCUUAGAAUUACAAAUGCGUGUUUAGAGACAAGUUAACAAGGGGAGUGUUAAUCUACGAAGGGUUUGGUGUAACACAUUAUUAAAAUGCAGGGUAGGCUGCAAUGCACACAACUUGACAAGAAAAACAUGGACUUCAGAUUAAUUGGGAAGGGGUAGAUCAAUCUCACAGAUAAAAGAAAAUAUGAUGUGGCAAAUGCUGAUAUCUGGCCAUAUGAAUAGUUUGUGAAGUAAAACGGAGUUUUCAGAAAUUUGACUUUGGUACCUAGGCUGAUGGUGAAUAAUUAAAAAUACAAUUUACAUACUGCUUGUAUGUGACAUAGUGUCUCUAAAUGUACAUAUUUUUACAUGUUUGGAUCAUAUGUUCUGACAAACUGAAUGUAUUUCUUAAAAGUAGUAAUGGAGAAUAUUUGAAAUAUUAACUUAUUGUUAUCAUAAGUUGUAAUAUUAAUUGUGACUUAAUAAAAUGAGAAAAUGAUCUGGGAAAA